rnacentral:lncRNA from 1 species
AUCAUUCAGGAGCAGGCCUGGGUGAUCCCAAAGUAAUAUCUGUUCCUCCCUCUGCAUAGAUCACUGAGAAGCAGUGAUGAGCACAGUGACUGCACCAUGUGAUAUGUGAGCAUCAGCUGUGGGAGUCAGGGAAACAUUGGAUGAGUUGCAUGGAGGAUGAGAUUCUUCUACAUACCAAGAAGCUGUGUGACUCUAGAAACUAAGUUCAAGAGAAUCUGAUACACAGAAAAGUGGCACGAUACAUAAAAUAUUCAACUGUAUGCCAAGAAGGUUGAGAUUCACAUGCAGCAACUGAGUAGCAUAUUUCUAUGUCUCCAUGAACAUGUCACCAUGGAGUGAGGUUACAAAAGGUACCUGGGAACAAGAGAUCUCUGGAGAGAACUGAGUAAUAGAUCCCAGCUAUGGCUCAGGUGUAAGGGGAAUCUCAGAGACUCAGAGCACCUGGAUGGAUAUGUCACCCUACCCCAGUAGGUCAUUUACAAACUCCAGAUGGACGAGAAAUGACUUUUGAAGAGCAUUGAUUCUACAUAUGUUUAGAACUGAGUUCUCCAGUAUUAAACAUUCAUGGAC